AGGGCCAGGCGCGCAGGCAACGGCGCCUGCGUCGCGCCGCCGCGACCGCCCCGCCGGGAGGCCCUGCACGCACGCGCCGCCGGCCGGGCCAGAUUAGUGUCAUCUUUGAUCACUCUAUCUACAUCCAAGUUAUCAAUAUCCCUUCAACUGCACAGCACUCAGGACAACACUGCCACUAAAGAUGCCACCAUCUGGCUAUGCUCUAAUUGGGCGUAUGUGUCCUCAUCCCAUCUGCAGAGGGUCUACAGGGGCUUGCCUCUUGUUGCCAGCACUGCCUGGCUCUGCAGCCUACUCAAGAAAAGAAAAUGAAAGCAGCCUGACUCCAUUCGUCAUGAUUCCUUCUUUUCCUUUUGAGGCUCACAGACAGACCGUUGGCCAGCCUCGCCCAGGACUGACAUCAAGUUCAUCUUUUGCCCUUGUUUGGGCUGGGUCCUCUGGCCCAGCGAUGGAACACUUGUGUACCUUCAACUGGUGCCCUGGGCUGCUCCAGACCUUGGCCUCUGGCUGUGCCAAAGCAGGAAGGACAGACUCAGGGUGUUGCCUGUUUGCUCUGGUGGGGAGAGGCUAAGGAUCGCAGUGACGUAGGGAGAGAAGAAAGAUGGACCCGUGUGGCAGGAGAUUGUGCUCAGGGUAGAGUCAGCAAAACACUGACCAGAUUCCCCAAAACUCUGGCCAGAAAGUGCCUGAGAUCUCCGUUUUUAGAUUCUGUUCUUUAAAGAUACUUCAUCUGUAUGUGUCCUUGAGUAGAAGGCAAGUUCUCCUUGAAGGGGACACGUUUCUCUGCUGUCAUCUUAGGACAACUUCUUUGAGAAGGAGACUCUAGUUCCUGCAGCCAUUUGAGAAGGGGGCUGGAGGGGCUGAGCUAGGAGGUUUUGGGGGUGAGGCCCAGGUAGAACUUUGUGGCAGGGAGUGCUGGGGUGUGCACCCACAUGGGCCACCCCACAAGUUGAUGGGGAAAGGGGGCAAGUAGGGAGUACAAGGAUGGAAGGGGUUCUCUUCUCCCCACCCACUUUGCCUGGCUGACUCCCAUUUGUCCUUCAUAUCUCAGUUUCGGCACCAAUUCCUCAGGGAAGCCCUGCAGGCCUCAGAACAAGUGAGAUCCCCCUGUCAUUCCCUCCCAGAGCCCACACUUUUUAUCCAUAGCUCUUACCACAGUUACAGUUAAGGCUGUCGCAAGGUGUGCGGGUAUCUCGCCUCCAUCCACAAACUCUCUGUGAUGGCAGUGGCCAGGUCUAUCUGUUCACCACUGAGUCCGAGCACCCAGCCCUGGGCCUGCACACAGUAGGCACUCAGCCAUAUGGAGUGUUGUAUGAAUGAAUACAUGAAUGGAAGAAUGGACAAAUAUAACUGGGAGGACACAGUGCAGAGGCACUGCAGCCCCUUCUCAUUUUUCCCUGGCCUAGUUGGACACAGAGGACUUGGGUAAGCGGGGGGAGGCUGACAUUCCAUUUCCUAUGCUGGGGCAAGGGAAGCUGGUGUUUCCCAAAGAUCCAUAUUGUCAUUGUUCCAGCUGCAUAAUGAAUAACAGCCGUUCCUCCCCAAGGAGGAAGUCAUUUUCCCAGAAUCAACAUAAAACCCACAGGAAAAGAAAUAAACAUUUAAUGCUCACCUACUA